AAAGAUUAAGCCAUGCAUGUCUAAGUAUAAGCAACUAUACGGUGAAACUGCGAAUGGCUCAUUAAAUCAGUUAUCGUUUAUUUGAUAGUACCUUACUACAUGGAUAACCGUGGUAAUUCUAGAGCUAAUACAUGCUAAAAACCUCGACUUCUGAAGGGGUGUAUUUAUUAUAUAAAAAACCAAUGCCCUUCGGGGCUCCUUGGUGAAUCAUAAUAACUUCACGAAUCGCAUGGCCUUGCGCCGGCGAUGGUUCAUUCAAAUUUCUGCCCUAUCAACUUUGUUUUUAGUUUUGUUUUUUCCCCAUGGUAU
rnacentral:rRNA from 1 species